UACGUAGGCAGCGAGCGUUGUUCGGAGUUACUGGGCGUAAAGGGUGUGUAGGCGGCUUUGCAAGUCCGGGGUGAAAGCCCCCAGCUCAACUGGGGAAGUGCCUCGGAUACUGCGGAGCUCGAGGGAGGUAGGGGCGGAUGGAACUUCCGGUGGAGCGGUGAAAUGCGUUGAUAUCGGAAGGAACGCCGGUGGCGAAAGCGAUCCGCUGGCCCUCUACUGACGCUGAGGCGCGAAAGCCAGGGGAGCGAACGGG
rnacentral:rRNA from 1 species